rnacentral:tRNA from 1 species
GCCGAUAUAGCUCAGUUGGUAGAGCAGUUCAUUCGUAAUGAUCAGGUCACAGGUUCGAAUCCUGCUAUCGGCA